CCUCAGCAGCCUCUCUGCCACUCUGCAGAAGUCUACCAUCACCCUAGCAGACGCACACGCCUCCCUGCUUGCCACCCAGGCUGUGCUGGAGAAAUACGAAACCAGGGCAGGGCCAAACGAUGUCCUGGUCGAAAGUCAACCAGCGUCACAGAGAACAGUGUCCUGAUGUGCUUGACUUGAUUGACUUGGUGCUAGUGAUCCCUGCCUCCACUGCUGACUGCGAACGGGGGUUCAAUACAAUGAAGCAGGUCAAGUCUGACUGGAGGUCCAACCUCACAUCCUCAUCACUGUCAGAUCUCAUGACAGUCCAGCUUUGCUCACCAGAUAUAAAUAAUUUUGAUCCCUCUGCUGCCAUUGACCUGUGGCACAGCGACACCGU